rnacentral:lncRNA from 1 species
GCAGGAAACUGCAUAUCUUCUGGUUUACAUGAAGAUGGAGUGCUAAUGGAAAUGCCCAAAACCUUCAGAGAUUGACACGCUGUCAUUUUCCAUUUCCGUUCCUGGAUCUACGGAGUCUUCUAAGAGAUUUUGCAAUGAGGAGAAGCAUUGUUUUCAAACUAUAUAACUGAGCCUUAUUUAUAAUUAGGGAUAUUAUCAAAAUAUGUAACCAUGAGGCCCCUCAGGUCCUGAUCAGUCAGAAUGGAUGCUUUCACCAGCAGACCCGGCCAUGUGGCUGCUCGGUCCUGGGUGCUCGCUGCUGUGCGAGACAUUAGCCCUUUAGUUAUGAGCCUGUGGGAACUUCAGGGGUUCCCAGUGGGGAGAGCAGUGGCAGUGGGAGGCAUCUGGGGGCCAAAGGUCAGUGGCGGGGGGUAUUUCAGUAUUAUACAACUGCUGUGACCAGACUUGUAUACUGGCUGAAUAUCAGUGCUGUUUGUAAUUUUUCACUUUGAGAACCAACAUUAAUUCCAUAUGAAUCAAGUGUUUUGUAACUGCUAUUCAUUUAUUCAGCAAAUAUUUAUUGAUCAUCUCUUCUCCAUAAGAUAGUGUGAUAAACACAGUCAUGAAUAAAGUUAUUUUCCAC